GGGCAGGCUCGCCUCUGACUCUGCAGGGACAUUAUUCCCUCCCAGCCAGCAGGGAACUUCUGGAACUUCUAAACAGCACAUCCUCGAGCCAGCCCAGGCCCCCACAGCAUCCUGCACCCCAGGUUUACAAGCUUUUUAAUGAAAUCAGAGCACCACAGCCAGCUCUAGCCCAGAGGGAAAGUAAGAGGAUGUUUCUGCAGCAGCUGUCCUUUCUCCUGUAACUACUAAACUGUCGCCCCUCACUAAAGAGGAUGGCUUUGCCUAUGCUGUCCCCACCCCUUGAAGCGAGCUUCCUCCUCUAUUGGGAUAGGUAACUCUCUUUUCUUCAAUAAUUCUUUAAUGUUAUAAAAUACCUGCCAGUGUUCACAUUUCCCUGAAUGAUUUUUAAUUCUUUUUCCUUUUUUAGUAUGUUUGUUUGAAGUAGGAAUCUAAACAAGAUCUAUAUAUUGUGAUUAAUUGAUAUGUCUCCGAAGUCUCUUGUUUAUAGUUCUCUCUCUUUGUAAAUCUCUCUCUCUCCCCUUGCACUUUUUUUAAUGAAAAAAAAAUCUGAUUGUUUAUCUUACAGAAUUUCCCAAAUCUGGAUUUUUAAAAAAAAUUAAAACACAGUGAUAUCAU
ensembl:lncRNA novel transcript